rnacentral:tRNA from 1 species
GCGGAUGAAGCUCAAAGGCAGAGCGACCGGUUGUCUACCGGAAGGCUGCGGGUUCGAGUCCCGUCAUCUGCG